GACGAACGCUGGCGGCGUGCUUAACACAUGCAAGUCGAACGGAAAGGCCCUGCUUUUGUGGGGUGCUCGAGUGGCGAACGGGUGAGUAACACGUGAGUAACCUGCCCUUGACUUUGGGAUAACUUCAGGAAACUGGGGCUAAUACCGGAUAGGAGCUCCUGCUGCAUGGUGGGGGUUGGAAAGUUUCGGCGGUUGGGGAUGGACUCGCGGCUUAUCAGCUUGUUGGUGGGGUAGUGGCUUACCGAGGCUUUGACGGGUAGCCGGCCUGAGAGGGUGACCGGCCACAUUGGGACUGAGAUACGGCCCAGACUCCUACGGGAGGCAGCAGUGGGGAAUAUUGCACAAUGGGCGGAAGCCUGAUGCAGCAACGCCGCGUGCGGGAUGACGGCCUUCGGGUUGUAAACCGCUUUCGCCUGUGACGAAGCGUGAGUGACGGUAAUGGGUAAAGAAGCACCGGCUAACUACGUGCCAGCAGCCGCGGUGAUACGUAGGGCGCGAGCGUUGUCCGGAUUUAUUGGGCGUAAAGGGCUCGUAGGUGGUUGAUCGCGUCGGAAGUGUAAUCUUGGGGCUUAACCCUGAGCGUGCUUUCGAUACGGGUUGACUUGAGGAAGGUAGGGGAGAAUGGAAUUCCUGGUGGAGCGGUGGAAUGCGCAGAUAUCAGGAGGAACACCAGUGGCGAAGGCGGUUCUCUGGGCCUUUCCUGACGCUGAGGAGCGAAAGCGUGGGGAGCGAACAGGCUUAGAUACCCUGGUAGUCCACGCUGUAAACGGUGGGUACUAGGUGUGGGGUCCAUUCCACGGGUUCCGUGCCGUAGCUAACGCUUUAAGUACCCCGCCUGGGGAGUACGGCCGCAAGGCUAAAACUCAAAGGAAUUGACGGGGCCCCGCACAAGCGGCGGAGCAUGCGGAUUAAUUCGAUGCAACGCGUAGAACCUUACCUGGGUUUGACAUGGAUCGGGAGUGCUCAGAGAUGGGUGUGCCUCUUUUGGGGUCGGUUCACAGGUGGUGCAUGCCUGUCGUCAGCUCGUGUCGUGAGAUGUUGGGUUAAGUCCCGCAACGAGCGCAACCCUUGUUCACUGUUGCCAGCACGUUAUGGUGGGGACUCAGUGGAGACCGCCGGGGUCAACUCGGAGGAAGGUGGGGAUGACGUCAAGUCCUCAUGCCCCUUAUGUCCAGGGCUUCACGCAUGCUACAAUGGCUGGUACAGAGAGUGGCGAGCCUGUGAGGGUGAGCGAAUCUCGGAAAGCCGGUCUCAGUUCGGAUUGGGGUCUGCAACUCGACCUCAUGAAGUCGGAGUCGCUAGUAAUCGCAGAUCAGCAACGCUGCGGUGAAUACGUUCCCGGGGCU
rnacentral:rRNA from 1 species